rnacentral:rRNA from 1 species
GACAGAGGGUGCAAACGUUGUUCGGAAUUACUGGGCGUAAAGCGCGUGUAGGCUGCUCGGAAAGUCGGAUGUGAAAGCCCUGGGCUCAACCUAGGAAGUGCAUUCGAAACUUCUGAGCUGGAGUGCUGGAGAGGAAGGCGGAAUUCUCGGUGUAGAGGUGAAAUUCGUAGAUAUCGAGAGGAACACCGGUGGCGAAGGCGGCCUUC